rnacentral:lncRNA from 10 species
AAAGGGCCCAUUGGUAUGAGACGGCUCAGCCUGUGGUAUCCGAGGAGGAAGGGUCAAAAGCACAAAGAGAGAGAGUGCCAGAUGGUGAUCAGGGCCAGAUGGCUGUCGCCAGGGUCAUGCUCAAGCUAGUGCGAAUUAAGAAGAAUCACAAUAAGCUUAUGCAACACCAGCCCAAAGCCAAUUAUUGUUCUUGGACUUAGGGUAUAUUUCCUCUUUAUUUAUAGGAAAGUGUAUGUUUGUAUGUGUGUGUUUGUAUAUGGGGGGGUUGUGUUUGCAGGGGAUGGCAAAGAGCAGUUCUGGGAAUAAUGAAUCAACAUUUGAAAGUAGAGUUGGGCUAUACUUAGGUGAGUGUAAUUGUUUCAGUGGAAAAGUUUUUCUCACAUUCUUUCCCUUCCCUUUAUUAUAUUCUCGUAACAUACUGAAGGGCAGUGCAUUUGGCAGGCUGAAUUUGGCACUGCUCAGACAGCCUCAGUAGAGCAAAGGGCCUGAGGACACUAAAUUCUAUCCGGUCCCAUUUACAGAGCUGUUGGGCAAUGAAAUGGUGCUCUUGAUAACUUGCUUCCAGGGGGUGAGAAGCAGAAAACCACAACCUACGGUUCCUGUCUUGGGUUGCAGGUGGAAGUUGAGAGCCCUACCCCUGCAUAACAAAGUUGUAAGACUAACUGCUUUGCUUAUUGGCG